UCUCCGAAGGUCUCAUUCCCCCCUCCACCACACCCUACUUAUUCAUAUCAUUAUUCCUUUUUCAGAAUGUCACAAGAAUCCAUUCUCAUCAUCGAUCUGCCGUCGGACGAAAUACCCAGCACGCCAGUUAGGCCUGAGUCUCCAGAGUAAUCCCUUACCCAGGCCAACGAAAAACAGGCCCGGCACUAGUUCACAAGGAACCACACCCUACUAACCCCUCAGUUUCCACUCAGGAGACCCUGACUGCUAUUCUGGUCAACCUCCAUACGAUGAACAGGCUGCUACAAGUGGAAAUGGCCAUCCCAGGUGACUUGACAGUCCCCCCCCCCACCCUGGUUGUCUCGGCCGUUCAGGCUGGCAUACCCCUCCUUCCCCCUCCCCCUAGGCCUCCAGCAACUAUCAAAAACACAUAUGUCUUAUCUGCUCACUAUGGAGUUUUGCCUCUGUCCUGGGAGAUAAUUGGAUUAAUUCCCAAUUAUCUCCAGGACAGAGGGAGGGAAAUUAGGAUGCAUUGUGG